rnacentral:rRNA from 1 species
UCGAAGCAACGCGCAGAACCUUACCAACGUUGNACAUCCUCAUCGCGAUUUCCAGAGAUGGAUUUCUUCAGUUCGGCUGGAUGAGUGACAGGUGCUGCAUGGCUGUCGUCAGCUCGUGUCGUGAGAUGUUGGGUUAAGUCCCGCAACGAGCGCAACCCUCGCCUUUAGUUGCCAUCAUUUAGUUGGGCACUCUAGAGGGACUGCCGGUGAUAAGCCGGAGGAAGGUGGGGAUGACGUCAAGUCCUCAUGGCCCUUACGGGUUGGGCUACACACGUGCUACAAUGGCGGCGACAAUGGGCAGCGAAGGGGCGACCCGGUGCAAAUCCCAAAAAGCCGUCUCAGUUCGGAUUGUACUCUGCAACUAGAGUGCAUGAAGGUGGAAUCGCUAGUAAUCGCGUAACAGCAUGACGCGGUGAAUACGUUCCCGGGCCUUGUACACACCGCCCGUCACACCAUGGGAGUUGGUUUUACCCGAAGCUGGUGCGCUAACCGCAAGGAGGCAGCCAACCACGGUAAGGUCAGCGACUGGGGUGAAGUCGUAACAAGGUAGCCCUAGGGGAACCUGGGACUUGAUCACCUCGUUAAGCUUGGAUACCCGGGAAUCGAAUUCCCGCGA